UACGAAGGGGGCUAGCGUUGCUCGGAAUGACUGGGCGUAAAGGGCGCGUAGGCGGUUUGCACAGUCAGGCGUGAAAUUCCUGGGCUUAACCUGGGGGCUGCGCUUGAUACGUGUGGACUGGAGUGCGGAAGAGGGUCGUGGAAUUCCCAGUGUAGAGGUGAAAUUCGUAGAUAUCUGGAGGAACACCGGUGGCGAAGGCGGCAUUCUGGACCGAUAUUGACGCUGAGGAGCGAAAGCCAGGGGAGCAAACGGG
rnacentral:rRNA from 1 species